rnacentral:rRNA from 1 species
ACGAACGCUGGCGGCGUGCUUAACACAUGCAAGUCGAGCGGUAAGGCCCUUUCGGGGGUACACGAGCGGCGAACGGGUGAGUAACACGUGGGUGACCUGCCCUCAGCUCUGGGAUAAGCCUGGGAAACCGGGUCUAAUACUGGAUAUGACUCCAUGACGCAUGUUGUGGGGUGGAAAGCCUUGUGCGGCUGAGGAUGGGCCCGCGGCCUAUCAGCUUGUUGGUGGGGUGAUGGCCUACCAAGGCGACGACGGGUAGCCGGCCUGAGAGGGCGACCGGCCACACUGGGACUGAGACACGGCCCAGACUCCUACGGGAGGCAGCAGUGGGGAAUCUUGCGCAAUGGGCGAAAGCCUGACGCAGCGACGCCGCGUGAGGGAUGACGGCCUCGGUU